UAGUGUUUAACCUCUCCAUGCAUAACAUCCACAUGAUAAAGGGGUGUUUUAAGAACUUUUAUAAACCAUACUAGGAUGAUGCCAAGCCACUUCAGCUGCAGGAUAUCUCAGCAGAGAUCAAUUAUAAACUUGACAGAGAAGAUGUCAAAGCUGCAAGAUCAAUUCAAAUUCUGUAUAAGAUCCUCAACAGCUGCAUUGCUUCUCCUCUCUACUAAGGCAUUCCAUUCACCAAGCAUUGCCAAUAAUUGAGGAGACUUUAGCUUGAAGAGAGGCUACCAAACUGUCUUGAGAUGUGCCAAAUCAUAAUAAGACAGUAAGGGUCCUGUUGACUGUUGGUUGUCAAACCAAAGAUAAGUUUCCUCACCACUGCCAAUUACUGAAAAGAUAUAUGGUUGCAUAACCGGUCUAAGCUUGAGGAGCUUUUAUCAAAACCAAGAGCAAUCACUAGGUGUUGGCACAACCCAAGAAGAAAUGACGCUUAAGCUUAACAACAUGAACACAUGCUAUUCAUAGACAGUCUUUCUUUAGUGCAAUGGCCUAGAUAUAUUUAAAGCAAAGCUCUUUGUCAUACUUCUGAGCUGGUCAAGCCCAAUCCACCAUAUUCAGAAGGCUUACUCAUUUCCUUCCAACAUACUCUGAUUCCUGUUACCUGAAUCAAAGCCUUUUCAGAGAAAUACAAUCGGCAUAUCUUCAAACUCAAUAACACUUAAAUUAACCGUAACAUACCAGCAUAAGUCCAUAUUUAGAACUCCAACCAUAAAUCCUUUUCUGAAUCUUUCCUAACAAGACUAGAUAAUCAGAAAAAGAUAAUCCGGUGCUGAUCAAAGGGGCACCUAGAUAUCUGACAGGAAGGCACCCUUCCCCAUCCCCAGCUCAUGCAAAGCUUCACUGGUAAGUCUUUACUUACAUCUGCAACGGAAACCUCACUUUUGUCCUAAGUUAGGAGAAAGCCCUGAAAGGACAGCGAACUUCCAUGGUACUAAGUUCAUAAUAGCCACAGAAUCAGUAGCAGCAGUAGAUACAAGAAGUAGAUCAUGUGCAAAAAUCUGUGAGGAAUUCCAAGAGGUUGAUACAUACUUGAGGUGAUACUGGAACUCAGGUCUUUAAGCAGCUUUAAUCCAAC
rnacentral:lncRNA from 1 species